rnacentral:misc_RNA from 1 species
UUAACAUUUCAUCGAUUUGUUCAGACAGAUUUUGUACAGUAAACUCGGAGGUUAUUUUUACCCUCCCGCCGGGCACGUACCCGGCGGAAGCAACAGGAAAGUGUACACAGUGUGGGUGUAUAAACAGCUCACGCAGCAGGCAUGACUGAAUUACAUGAUAAUGAUCCUUCCGCAGGUUCACCUACGGAAA